CUACGUGCCAGCAGCCGCGGUAAUACGGAAGGUCCAGGCGUUAUCCGGAUUUAUUGGGUUUAAAGGGAGCGUAGGCGGAUUAUUAAGUCAGUGGUGAAAGACGGUGGCUCAACCAUCGUUAGCCAUUGAAACUGGUAGUCUUGAGUGCAGACAGGGAUGCUGGAACUCGUGGUGUAGCGGUGAAAUGCUUAGAUAUCACGAUGAACUCCGAUCGCGAAGGCAGGUGUCCGGGCUGCAACUGACGCUGAGGCUCGAAAGUGUGGGUAUCAAACAGGAUUAGAUACCCUGGUAGUCCGCACAGUAAACGAUGGAUGCCCGCUGUUGGUACCUGGUAUCAGCGGCUAAGCGAAAGCAUUAAGCAUCCCMCCUGGGGAGUACGCCGGCAACGGUGAAACUCAAAGGAAUUGACGGGGGCCCGCACAAGCGGAGGAACAUGUGGUUUAAUUCGAUGAUGCGCGAGGAACCUUACCCGGGCUUGAA
rnacentral:rRNA from 1 species